ensembl:lncRNA
CCUGCACAAAGAGCCGUGUUAUUGUAUUUAAAAGAACCAUCUGUAGCAGAAACAAUGGCAUCAAAUUAUCUUUGAAUACCCACUGAAAAAACAUAAAGCUUUUUUUUUUAUUCUUCUUCUGUACGGUGGGGGGAUAGAGCAGUGUUAGGAUAACUGACUUUUUUGUUGUUCUCUGGGUGCAUUCUUCUCGCUCCCCCUCUCUCUCCCCCUCACCCUCUCUCUCCUCUCUCUCUCCCUCUCCCUCUCUCUCUCUCUCUUUUAAAAAAUCAGCCAUUUGGGGUUUUAAGCCAUAAACGAUUUUUCUUGUUGCAGGGGAUUGCAGUGGCAAAGCUAGGCUAGGUCUUGGAGGCUGGUGUAAGGCGAAGCGGGUGAAGGCAGGAGGCUGAUGGAGAGACUGGGGGGAAGAAAAGCCGAAAUGGAUUCAUGGUGCCUUGGAUGGAGGACGAGAGGAGAAUUGCAAGCUCCUUCAACUCGUUCUGUCCGGUGAGAAGUGAUCAAGCUUGGGCUGACAAGAGGCUCAGGGAGCCCUCACGUUCUUUUGCUUUUUUACCUGCCAAUCAAACUGCUACAAGACAACACCCUGAUCUGGCAUGGACAUCGUGGGUCCAAGCCUGUAGCCCCAAAUCGGAUAAUCUCUGCAGCUGAUAACAAGCAAAAGAGAAGCCAGGCAACAGCCAUAUUAAAGAAGAAAACAAUCAACUCUGAGGAUACAGACAGGCAUGCAGAAGUAACUAGACGUCCAACACAUGGCAAAGUCUUGCGGGCCCAGGAUUUCAAACAAAAGAAAACUCGGACAGGAGUGCUCUGCCCACCUGGACUGAGGGAACAGCCCUGGCAAAGUCUCAAGACAGGUCAAGAAACUGGGGAAGGCAAUCAGCUCUUGCAUCGUCCACAUUGUUUCUGGAGCACAGCCUGGCUGAUCCUGGGGCUAGAGCUCAGAACCAGAUCCAGCUUAGAAAUAAUGUUUCACUCAAGAUAAGGCUUGUGGUUUAGGAGAUUCUGGUCUGGCCUGCCUCACUUUAAGACUUCUAUCAUCUCUUUUCAAAACCUGAGGAGGACCUCAUUUCCUGUUUGAUAGUUCUUCAUGCUUUGCCAGCCUCCGGGUCUUUAACGAAGCUUGCCAAGAAUUCCCGGCUGGGAAGGACAGCCUGAGUUCAUCAUAGAGAAUGAGCUGGCACCACAGUUGUACUGACUCACCAACCUCAUUGCAACUUUGCAAUGGCAAGAACCACACUAUCUAAUUGAAAGACCUGUGUUUUAACAAAGUGCAAUUGGAUCACAUGGCAAAAUCCUCUCAAAAUAUGUCUCCAAUCUUUCCUUUCACUGGAUGUUUUGAACCCAAAGGAAAUUAUAUUCUGAAUUAUAUGUUUUUUUGUUUUUAAUUGAGAUUAAUUAACAGAUACUUGGUUUUAUGUCCAUUCCGUUCUAGGAAUUUAGUGGUGAUUACAAAGCAGUGAAAAUAGGUCACAGCAAAAUGAACAUUCCAGAUUAGGUUAAAGCAUUCCUCUGAAAUUUCAGUAUUCAUUUUUGGAGUGUCAGUUACUACAUUUCUGUAAUUCAUCAUUUUUUUUCUUUCUUGGCUUACAGUCAAGAUGAGAAAUGAUAUCGAGACCAAAGACAUUGUUUUGUUACAUAGCCAGUGCUUUUUAAAAUGCAAAACCACCCUCCCCUCACCAAUGCUUAAUCGUUUGUGUGUGCUUAUGUUCACACACACACACACACACACACACACACAUGCUGGCUUGAAACCUUUCAAGACUUCCAGGACCUGGGUCAUGUAAGAGGCAGAUGAGAAAAUUAAAGGAGGACCAGAAGGAGGCCAGAACAGUAGCAACACUAAGAGUCCAUGAUUUCACUUUACAAAAAGUCCUUAUAUACCACACAGGCAUUUUUAAAAAGCAAGUAUUAUUAUAAUUAAAUAAUAUACUUCUAAAGUAUUAUGAUUCUCAUCUAAUUUCAAGAUGUAUAUAGGAGCCGUU